GAAAGAAACGUCGUCGUUUAAAACGUCAAAGUCAUCAAUUUCACAGAGCCUCUUUCCUCCUCUCUUGGUCCUCUCUCUCUCCGUGUCGCCUAACUGAACAGCAGCAGGGGAAGGAGCUGAAGGAUCAGCCAUGGCCAGUGAUCACGAGCCGGCGAAGAUCUUACUGCCGUACCUCCAGAGAGCUGAUGAGCUGCAGGAGCACGAGCCCCUCGUCGCUUACAACUGUAGACUGUAUGCGAUGGAUCGUGGUCCGAAGAUCCCUGCAGGGGAGCGUACGAAGACCGCCAACGCCCUCUUGAAUUCCCUCAUCAAACAGCUGGAAAAGUUACCAAUCCAUCAAUCUACCGAUCCAUUUAUAUGUCGAGAGUGGGUUCUACCAUUGAAGGUGAAUACCGCACGAAGUGGAAUUUGUGCUUUCUUCGUGAUUCCUGGCCCAUUUGCACUGACUAAGGGGUGCUGUGUUGACGUUGCGCAGUUGCCCGAUCUUCAAGUGCUAAAUUGGAUAACUGGGAUCCGCUUUGCAGCUGAAUAUCUCUCAGUUGUUCAUGCUGCCUGUAAUGCCCAUACAUUAUUUGUAAACUCGUGGCAGUUUUAAUAAUCCUUUGCUUCAGCUAGAUUUCAACUGGGAAUUUUAUUUUUUUCCUUGGGCUUAAGUUAAAAUGACCAUCUCUGGUGCUAGUUACAUGUCUCAGUAUUUCUAGUUCUGCUGAUAUAUUAGCUAGUUUUGGGAGUUAGUGAGCUUCAGAUAAUUUUUAUUUUAACAUUACUAAGUGGGAGAACUUCUAUGGAGGCUUCAUUUGGUUCCAGUAACGAUUGCACUGGUACCUAGGCCCCAGAUUAUUAUUUUUCUGAAUGACUGGUUGCCUAAUAUUUAUGUGCGGAAAACAAUUGGUGGGCUGCAGUUUGCAGUUCAAAUUAAUUGUCGUGUUGGGCUGCCUGUAAUGCCUGCACAGUUUUUCCGUGAUCUUGUCAACUUCUGAAGGGUCGUGGAUGAUUUGUCAUAAUUAUAUUUUUCAUUAGUGUAUUAUGUCUCAUCUUCAACUUGAGACUUUUGUAGCCGCUAACAUUUGCGAUAUAUAAUGUCGUGUGGCAGUACAAUAGUAAGGCAGCAUAGCCAAAAUGACUUGGGAGAAACCUUAUUUCAAUUGCAUUGCACUAUUUAGCUUCUUGUCUCAGGAGCCUCUCCUCUCUUCCUGCAUGCAUUACUAUUAAAUUUGUCAUUUUAACUCUUUAUGUUGCAAAAAUCUUUUUUGGGUAAGAGAUGGCUCUGGUCAGACCCGACUGAUUUUACAGUAGUGGGGUAAUGACAAGAAAUCGCUAAAUCUUGGGCCCGAAGACAGUUUGCAUGGAAGGGUUUGCCUUGAAUGUCUUUGCAAAGGCUGAUAAACAAGAUCGUGCUGGGCGAGCUGACUUGUAUGAUGCAUUCUCUUCCUGAUAAUAUUUAGUUUUCUUUAGAAAUUUAUUUGUUGGCUUCUUGCUUUUCAAGAAUUUUGUGUCCCCCACCUUGGAGAUUGUAGCUUCUAGUGGACGCCCUUUUUGCUGCCAAACCUAUCUGAGUCAUCUUUCUGUGUUAGGCUUUAUGAGAUCGGGUUGAUAUAUGCAUAACUCCGGGACAUCCCUAGAGAUCUUCUAUACAACAGGAUCACACAAUGAUGUAGUCUCUUGCAUAAUGUAUUUUUCAAUUAUAUCGGGCUUUUGUUUUCUUGA